UGGGCUCCCGACGCUCGCGGGAGCAGCGGGAAACCAGGUUCCGGGAGUGGGGCGAGGACGCCCCUGCCAAGCCCCUUUUACGUCCCGGCGGUCGCGAGGAGGUCCCCCGGGCGCGAAGAAGACGCCAGCCCACCCCAGCCGCCGGGGAGAUCGCCCAGGCCGCGCUCAGCCCCGCCCCUGGCUCUGCCCCCGCCGCGGAGCGGAACCCUCCAAGUCGCGGCCUGAGGAGGAAGGAAAAGGGGGCGGCCCGGGAGAGCCGCUGCGAAAUCAGCAACGGGCGGGAACCAGGUUGCCUCCCUGAGUCCCUUCUCUCCCCGGCCGGCUGCCAACCACAGCCAAGGCCAGAGAAACAGGCCCUUCUGCCGCGGCCACCUGGGCGCCUUGGACCCGCCCUCCGGACUCGCCCCCGCCCCUGCCGCGGAGUGGAACGUUUGGAACCCUGAGGGGCACAGCUCCUCUAGCAAUUCCGAUGUGAAAAGAAGAUGGAUGGAGAAGCACUGAUUCAGCCAUGGCUGACAUGUCGGAGUUGGAAUGGACAGUGCCCGGACCUCACAGUCUCAGAGAACUGGAGAAGAGUAAAGCUGAAGAGGGCAUCAUCUGGUUACAAAUGACAAGUCCAGGGCUCCAGCUUCUUCGGCUCCUUGGCCAUGUGUGUACUUUAUGAUGAAGCGCCCAGCUUCUGCAGGAUAUCCAUACUGCCAAGGUCAAAAGCAACAAUAAGCGACGUGGGGCUCAGUCUGUUCUCGUGGGCUACAAUGCAUGCUUCUGGUUUCCAGGUUGUUCUUGCUCUCCCUUAUUUUACAUUUAUCCUUCCUUCCCAACUGCCUGUCCGAUAGAUGUCGAGUCCCAACAUCAGAUGUGAAGAUGAGAGCUUUAUAGAGACUGCUUAACCAGCUCCCACAGUUGUAUUAGGACAAAUCCCUGUAGCAAAUCCCUUUGUGUGUGUGUGUGUGUGUGUGUGUGUGUGUAUGUGUGUGUGUGUGCGCGCGCACGCGCGUGCACGCACCUUAGUGGUUCUCCUGUGAUUGAAUCCUGACUUACACAGUUUGAGAUAGAAACCUUCUGAAGCAAUUAGAUUAAAUGGUCUAUAACUGUGCUGUCCAACAUGGUAGCCAUUAGCUACAUGUGGCUAUUUAAAUUUAAAUUAAUUAAAGUUAAACAUAAUUAGAAUUUAGUACCCCAGUCAAGUUUCAAGUGCUCAAUACUGUGGUCACAUGUGGCUGGUGGCCACUGUUUUGGGCAGCACAGAUAUAGAGCACUUCCGUUAUUGCAAAAAAAUGUUCUAUGAGCACUGGUCUAUAGUGAUAAUUACUAGUAUUUACUGAGUUCUCACCAUGUGUCAGAUGCAGAUUCCAAGUUUGCUCUGGAGAGCACGAUGCGGCAGGCAAACGGGGAAAGAGAGAGAGUGAUGGGAAUCAGGUGGGAGAUUUUUUUUUUUUUUUUUGAGAUGGAGUCUCUCUCACUCUGUCACCCAGGCUGGAGUGCAGUGGCACAAUAUCGGAUCACUGCAACCUCCGCCUCCCAGGUUCAAGUGAUUCUCCUGCCUCAGUCUCCCAAGUAGCCAGGAUUACAGACUUGUACCACCACGCCUGGCUAAGUUUUGUAUUUUUAGUAGAGACAGGGUUUCACCAUGUUGGCCAGGCUGGUCUCGAACCCCUGACCUCAGGUGAUCCACCCUCCUUGACCUUCCAAAGUGCUGAGAUUACAGGUGUGAGCCAUUGCACCUGGCCAGGUGGGAGAUUUUUAAUGACCAGGCCUGGAGGUGGCACACAUCACUUAUACCCACAUCCAUUGGCCAGCACUCAGUUACACGGCCACUUCUAACUACAAGGGAGGUUGGGAAAUGUAGCCUAGCUGUGUGCUGAGGAAGAAAAAGUAAAAGCUUUGGUGCCAGCCAGUCUCUGCCACAUCAGAUUUAAUUUGAGCGCUGUGAAGUAAUUAAUGCCCAUUAAACUAAGGGUGGGACAAGAUUAAUGCUAAAAUCACUCUCCCCAGCCACCAUUUUCUCUCUUGUUCUUUGUCAUGAUAUUGACAAGGUCAAAAGUCAGGCAGUCAGCAUGAACCCGAGGAGGAGAAGUCCUUGCCACUUUGAGGCUGAAUAUGAACAGCCCCUUCUUUAUGACUCACCCUAUCAGCUUUGCUCCUAGCGAAUGUUCAUAUCGUGGUUCUCCGGGACCCUUGAAAGUGGGACUCCUAUGUGAGGAACUAGUUCUAUAAACAACUACAUGCUAGUAAAAAACCAUUAAGAGGGUUGGAAUUAGGCAUAGUCCUGCUGCAUAGAAAUCCUACUUAGUUGGAAAAAUUGUAUUUUUAAGUUGCCUCUGUUUUGAAGCCACGUUAACCCUUAACCUUCAGAAAAUCCUUAGCCAGCCUUUAUACAUUGGUAGCUCCUGUUCUAAUAAUGUCUUCUCCUCCUAUUUUCUUUGGCUUGUCAUGAGCUUUGAAAGUUUGAUCUGAGAUCCCUCACUUUUAAUAAUCUGUAACUCUGAUUUGGUAAUCUCCUACAUAUGAAUAAAAUGUCUGUGUUCAUUUAUUUCUAAUGAAUAAAUGAACAUGCCUGCUGAGCCAAGCCUUAAAUGUGAUUAAGGAGACUGACUUGGGUUCAGAUCCUGGCUCUGCCUUGAGUAAGUUUCUAACAUUCCUCUGCUUGUAUUUCCUUAUCUGUAAAAUGGGAGUGAUUUCUUUGAAUGAAAUUAUAUUACAUUUAUCAAGCAUUUUAUCACAGUUUCAACAAUAAGGUGUAAUUAUUAUUAAUUCAGACUAUAUGAUUCUGUGCCCUUGGAUAAAGUUUACCAUUAUAUAAUAAACUACUUUUCUCACUUAA
rnacentral:lncRNA from 1 species